CAGUAGCGUAUAUUAAGGUUGUUGCAUUUAAAAAGCUCGUAGUUGGUGGUUCGCUUGGGGCCGUGGAUGCUAGCCGUCACGGCUCCCUGGCGGCACUCGGCGCUUGCGCCGUUUGCACUGUGAGAAAAUUAGAGUGAUCCAAACAGUCCUGGACUGACUGCUUCAGCACGGUAUGGGGUUUCGACGUCGCUGCUCUCUGCACUUCGCGUGUUUGAGGGUUGCGGGGUAAAGAUUAAUAGAGACAGACGAUGGGAUCCGUAUUGAGUUGCUAGAGGUGAUAUUCUUGGACCAACUCAAGACGUUCUGAAGCGAAAGCUCUUUUCACGCAUGUCCNUAUUAA
rnacentral:rRNA from 1 species